rnacentral:rRNA from 1 species
UACGAAGGGGGCUAGCGUUGCUCGGAAUUACUGGGCGUAAAGGGCGCGUAGGCGGACAGUUUAGUCAGAGGUGAAAGCCCAGGGCUCAACCUUGGAACUGCCUUUGAUACUGGCUGUCUUGAGUUCGGGAGAGGUGAGUGGAAUGCCGAGUGUAGAGGUGAAAUUCGUAGAUAUUCGCAAGAACACCAGUGGCGAAGGCGGCUCACUGGCCCGGUACUGACGCUGAGGUGCGAAAGCGUGGGGAGCAAACAGG